AUUGAACGCUGGCGGCAUGCUUUACACAUGCAAGUCGAACGGGAACAGGGAGCUUGCCCCGCUGCCGAGUGGCGAACGGGUGAGUAAUAUAUCGGAACGUACCCAAGAGUGGGGGAUAACGUAGCGAAAGAUACGCUAAUACCGCAUACGAUCGAUGGAUGAAAGCAGGGGAUCUUCGGGCCUUGUGCUCCUGGAGCGUCCGAUAUCUGAUUAGCUAGGUGGUGAGGUAACGGCUCACCAAGGCGACGAUCAGUAGCUGGUCUGAGAGGACGACCAGCCACACUGGAACUGAGACACGGUCCAGACUCCUACGGGAGGCAGCAGUGGGGAAUUUUGGACAAUGGGCGAAAGCCUGAUCCAGCAAUGCCGCGUGAGUGAAGAAGGCCUUCGGGUUGUAAAGCUUUGUUGUCAGGGAAGAAACGGAUGUGGCUAAUAUCCACGGCUAAUGACGGUACCUGAAGAAUAAGCACCGGCUAACUACGUG
rnacentral:rRNA from 1 species